rnacentral:rRNA from 1 species
UCAGCUUGCUGAUUUGCUGACGAGUGGCGGACGGGUGAGUAAUGUCUGGGAAACUGCCUGAUGGAGGGGGAUAACUACUGGAAACGGUACCUAAUACCGCAUAACGUCGCAAGACCAAAGAGGGGGACCUUCGGGCCUCUUGCCAUCGGAUGUGCCCACGUGGGAUUAGCUAGUAUGUGGGGUAAAGGCUCACCUACGCGACGAUCCCUAGCUGGUCUGAGAGGAUGACCAGCCACACUGGAACUGAGACACGGUCCAGACUCCUACGGGAGGCAGCAGUGGGGAAUAUUGCACAAUGGGCGCAAGCCUGAUGCAGCCAUGCCGCGUGUAUGAAGAAGGCCUUCGGGUUGUAAAGUACUUUCAGCGGGGAGGAAGGGAGUAAAGUUAAUACCUUUGCUCAUUGACGUUACCCGCAGAAGAAGCA